rnacentral:lncRNA from 1 species
UCUGAACUGUUAAUACAGUUCUUCAUGGUGUUUGAUGAAUUCAUAGUUUGCCAGGACAUUUGUGGUAGUAACAGGUGGCAGAUUCCACCUGCCUCUGCUUGGGGGGAGCAGGGGCUUUGUUUUCUGAUCCUGUCCCGUCUGCUGGAAGUUGUGCAGGGACCACUAGCUACCUUCUUACCAGGAAGAACGACCCUUUGACAGCACAACUGCAAUCCAGAAUCUCCACCAAAUUGUAACCUUCGAGGUGCCAAUGGCAUUGACAAACUAAUCAAGAUCAGAAGAGGUACCACAGGACACAGAAGACAACUGCACUUAGUUGGGUGGACUGUUUGCACACAUGAGGAGUAUACCACAGAGAGCUCAUUCUGCAUGCCUACAAAAUUCAAGUGACGAAAGCCGGUGAAUAGAUGUGGACAAGCGAACAUCUUUUACAUCUCCACAGCUUUCAACUCGCUAAAUGGAUGGAUAUUAAAAAUAUUUCUUCCAGGGAAAAAGAAAAUAAAACAAAUGCACCUUCACUGUUGUUAGUGUUUUCUUCUCAUCAAAUGGAGACACAUCAUUCAAUAUCUUUUUCCUUUGUAGCAAAAGAUGAGGAAAUCAGAAAUGAACAGCAGCCUUUUAACAGCAGCAAAUGCAAGACUUUUGAGAUGGUUUUCUUUGCUUCUGUUCUCUUUUCUUUGC